AGCAGCCGCGGUAAUUCCAGCUCCAAUAGCGUAUAUUAAAGUUGUUGCAGUUAAAAAGCUCGUAGUUGAACUUCGGGAUUCACCCAUUGGUCAGGCUUAAUUGUCUGUACUGGUGAGAUGAGUCUCUACCUUCUGAGGAACUUUCAUGCCAUUUGUUUGGUGUGAUUGGAAAUCAGGACUGUUACUUUGAAAAAAUUAGAGUGUUUAAAGCAGGCUAACGUCUGAAUACAUUAGCAUGGAAUAAUGAAAUAGGACGGAUUGAUUCUAUUUCGUUGGUUUCUAGGGUCACCGUAAUGAUUAAUAGGGAUAGUUGGGGGCAUUAGUAUUCAAUUGUCAGAGGUGAAAUUCUUGGAUUUAUUGAAGACUAACUACUGCGAAAGCAUUUGCCAAGGAUGUUUUCAUUAAUCAAGAACGAAAGUUAGGGGAUCGAAGACGAUCAGAUACCGUCGUAGUCUUAACCAUAAACUAUGCCGACUAGGGAUCGGACGCAGUUAAUUUUAUAAUGACGU
rnacentral:rRNA from 1 species